GUAACUCCUGAGCUGCCAUCUCAGCCUAGGAGGAGAACUGGAGUGAGGAAGGCAGACCUGGUGGGGGCCACAAACAAGCGCUCAGAGGCAGGCGCACCAGGGCACAUGAAAUGGGCUUUAAGAAGGGAUGCUCGUUAUAAAAAGAGUCGGAGACGACUGAAGCAACUUAGCACACACACAGGCAGUGUGUGUACAUAUAUACACACAUCAAUGCUGCUUUGUCAAUUGCCCUACUUUCUUGGUGGCUCAGACGGUAAAGCAUCUGACUGCAAUGCAGGAGACCUGGGUUCAAUCCCUGGGCUGGGAAAGAUCCCCUGGAGGAGGAAAUGGCAACCCACCCCAGUACUCUUGCCUGGAAAACCCCAUGGAGGAGGAGCGUGGCUCUCGGGUCACCCACGUCACUACAGCUGACCAGAUCCGUUCUUUUUUACGGCUGAGUAAUGGGCAUUGGAAUUCGUACAGAGGCUACGAUACGGAUGAACCAGGAGGACCCUGUCCUGAAUGAAAGAAGCCAGGCAGGAAGGGACAAAUCCUGAAGAAUUCCACUCCUACGAGGUCCCCAGAGGCACCAAAUCCAUUGGGAAG
ensembl:lncRNA